GAAAAAAGAAAAAAAAAAAAAGAAAAAAAGAAAAAAGAAAAAAAAGAAAAAAGAAAAAAAAGAAAAAAAAUUANAAAAAAAAAGAAAAAAAGAAAAAGAAAAAAGAAAAAAAAGAAAAAAAGAAAAAAAAAGAAAAAAAAGAAAAAAAAGAAAAAAAAGAAAAAAAAGAAAAAAAGAAAAAAAGAAAAAAAGUAAAAUGGUCUUAAUAUUGACAUUCUACCAAAAAGAAACAUUAAAUAUGGACAUUUAUUUAGGUAGUUUAAAAAAAAAAAAAAAAUACAAAACAAAAUAAAAAGGGAAAUUUUGAUGUUUUUUUUAAAAAAUAGAUUUCUCAACAACCCAAGGGACCCGAUUUUCAUAAAAUUUUCACCGAUUACAAAUACAGCUUCUCGUAAACAAAAUAGAUAAAUAGAUAAAUCGUUUUGAGUGUUUUUCAGUAAUUCGAUCUUAUGUUCAAAGUUGGAAUCCCUCGAAUCGGACUUUGGAGCAAAAAUACAGGCGAGUUUCAUUCGAAAAGUGGAAUGUGCAAGAUAUGAACAGAAAG
rnacentral:rRNA from 1 species